rnacentral:lncRNA from 1 species
UUAUGAUCAUGCUUAGGGCGGAAUGGAGGAGUGGCCGCAGAUAUUUCUUUCGGUACUAUAGCCCCCACAUGAAUCAGAUAAGUCACCAAUUCUGCAUACGGUACCAGAAUCUUGUCAAUUUGGGGACGAUUACCAAAAUUGUUUCUGUUGUUCUGACCUCGACCUUGUCCUUUGUUGUCACGAUUGUAUUGCUGACAGGUGACUCACCAAUAGAGCUUUCUCUCCACUCACGAUGACGAGCUUACCAU